GAUGAACGCUGGCGGCGUGCCUAAUACAUGCAAGUCGAGCGAACAGACGAGGAGCUUGCUCCUCUGACGUUAGCGGCGGACGGGUGAGUAACACGUGGAUAACCUACCUAUAAGACUGGGAUAACUUCGGGAAACCGGAGCUAAUACCGGAUAAUAUAUUGAACCGCAUGGUUCAAUAGUGAAAGACGGUUUUGCUGUCACUUAUAGAUGGAUCCGCGCCGCAUUAGCUAGUUGGUAAGGUAACGGCUUACCAAGGCAACGAUGCGUAGCCGACCUGAGAGGGUGAGCGGCCACACUGGAACUGAGACACGGUCCAGACUCCGACGGGAGGCAGCAGUAGGGAAUCUUCCGCAAUUGGCGAAAGCCUGACGGAGCAACGCCGCGUGAGUGAUGAAGGUCUUCGGAUCGUAAAACUCUGUUAUUAGGGAAGAACAAAUGUGUAAGUAACUAUGCACGUCUUGAAGGUACCUAAUCAGAAAGCCACGGCUAACUACGUG
rnacentral:rRNA from 1 species